rnacentral:lncRNA from 1 species
AAAAAAAACAGGCCCAAGACUUAAUAAAUAAAUCAGUUUUGUCUAAUUAAAUCAUCAAUCAAAUAUGUAAGGCAAUUCAAUUAAUAAAAUUUUAGCCCAUUUCGAAAAUUUAAAAAGGCCCAGCUAAAUAAAUAGACAUGGCCCUAUUAAAAAAUAAAAACAAGCCCAAACAUUUAUUAAAAUCGGCCCAAAUAAUUUAACUCGGCCCAAAAUAGGAGCCCAAACUCAAACCCAACACUCAAGCCCACUCCCCAAGCCCUAGCCCAACCCUCAAAGCCCAACUCCCAUCCCUACUUCUUCCCCCCAUCAGCCACACGCACACACACUCACGCUUCAAUCACUUUCACGCCUCUCUCGCCUAUUUCUUCUCUCUGCUCGGUCGAGUGCGGCACCGCCUCCGGCGCGCCGCCUCGCCGGACGCUUCCUCCCCUCCCUCAAAACCUCGCCGCCACAGCUCCUCCUCCUGCGACGAACGCCGCCGGCCACCCCUCUCCCGACGCCCCUCCUCUUCUCC